rnacentral:rRNA from 1 species
UACGUAGGUGACAAGCGUUGUCCGGAUUUACUGGGCGUAAAGAGCGCGCAGGCGGUCGAUCAAGUCGAGUGUGAAAGCCCCCGGCUCAACUGGGGAGGGUCAUUCGAAACUGGUCGACUCGAAGGCAGGAGAGGGUAGUGGAAUUCCCGGUGUAGUGGUGAAAUGCGUAGAUAUCGGGAGGAACACCAGCGGCGAAGGCGACUACCUGGCCUGUUCUUGACGCUGAGGCGCGAAAGCUAGGGGAGCAAACGGG